GAGAGUAUAGCUCAGUGGUAGAGCGUAUGCUUAGCAUUCUAAGCAUGAGGUCCUGGGUUCUAUCCCCAGUACCUCCU
rnacentral:tRNA from 1 species